rnacentral:tRNA from 1 species
AUAAAGUUGGCAGAUUAGUGCAAAUAAUUUAGGUUUAUUUUAUAAGAAUUUAUUUCUUACUUUUUA